rnacentral:rRNA from 1 species
UACGUAGGUGGCAAGCGUUGUCCGGAUUAUUGGGUUAAAGGGUGCGUAGGCGGCCCUGUAAGUCAGUGCUGAAAUAUCCCAGCUUAACUGGGAGGUGGCAUUGAUACUGCGGGCUAGAGUACAGAUGAGGUAGGCGGAAUUGACGGUGUAGCGGUGAAUGCUUAGAUAUCGUCAAGAACACCUAUAGCGAAGGCAGCUUACUAGGCUGUAACUGACGCUGAGGCACGAAAGUGUGGGGAUCAAACAGG